rnacentral:rRNA from 1 species
AUUGAACGCUGGCGGCAGGCCUAACACAUGCAAGUCGAACGAGUGGCGGACGGGUGAGUAAUGUCUGGGAAACUGCCCGAGGGAGGGGGAUAACUACUGGAAACGGUAGCUAAUACCGCAUACCAUCGGAUGUGCCCAGAUGGGAUUAGCUCGUAGGGGGGGUAACGGCUCCCCUAGGCGACGAUCCCUAGCUGGUCUGAGAGGAGGACCAGCCACACUGGAUCUGAGACACGGUCCAUACGCCUACGGGAGGCAGCGGGGGGGAAUAUUGCACAAUGGGCGCAAGCCUGAUGCAGCCAUGCCGCGUGUAUGAAGAAGGCCUUCGGGUUGUAAAGUACUUUCAGCGAGGAGGCGUUACUCGCAGAAGAAGCACCGGCUAACUCCGUGCCAGCAGCCGCGGUAAUAC